GACUGGAGCUUGGAGGUGUGCUGUAAGACUUCAAAGAUCAGAGAACUGAAGUGAGGGAGACUCCCUCCCCAGUGUCUAAGGACUGAAGGUACCCCACUCUAGGGGGAAGAGGAUGGGCCAAUAGAGAGACCGAGAGAGAGACACUGUGCUAGGAGUUUGUUAGCGGGACCCCGAAUAUACAAAUCAAACUUCCAGCUUCAGCCGUGGGCCUUAUCGUCAUCUCUCUAUUGUACAGCAUCACACACACUACCUUAACUAGUAACAAUCAUCAUUAUUAACAACCUAUAUAAGUAUCUGGGAACAUACAAAUUGCCAGGCUGGAUCAGAGCCAAGGUCCAUCAAGACCAAUAUGCUGUCUCAGGCAGUGGCCAGAUCCAGAUGUCUGAGAGGAAGGGGCAAGAAACUUCAUAGUAGGCACAUGUGGGACAAUCUGCCCUCCAUUAUAGGUUCCACUGUGGUCUCACAGAGUUA